rnacentral:rRNA from 1 species
UACGUAGGGUGCAAGCGUUAAUCGGAAUUACUGGGCGUAAAGCGUGCGCAGGCGGUUUUGUAAGACUGUCGUGAAAUCCCCGGGCUUAACCUGGGAAUGGCGAUGGUGACUGCAAGGCUAGAGUUUGGCAGAGGGGGGUAGAAUUCCACGUGUAGCAGUGAAAUGCGUAGAGAUGUGGAAGAACACCGGUGGCGAAGGCGGCUCUCUGGACCGAUACUGACGCUGAGGCGCGAAAGCGUGGGGAGCAAACAGG